AUUCAGUGUUCCUGUGUGUUCUGUGCAGAUUAUUGGAGGAGCUCCUGGUGUCCUUGCAGUGGGGAAGAGAGCAGACUUACUACCCUAGUGCGCAGCCUCACACCACAGCAGAACUAGCAUUAACAAAUCACAAGUUGGCAAAAGCAGUAAAUGCUCAUCUUCUGGGAAAUGUUGGCGCUAACAGUCAUAAAAAGNAUAUAUAUAUAUAUAUAUAUAUAUAUAUAUAUAUAUAUAUAUAUAUAUAUAUAUAUAUAUACACACACACACAUACACAUCAUGGCCAAGUACAUUUUGUCCUAGGAGUUGUAAGUUGGUUGUAAGUCCUAAUCUAACAAUAUAUAAAAAGAAUAUACACAUCAUGGCCAAGUACAUUUUGUCCUAGGAGUUGUAAGUUGGUUUAUCAUUCAAAAAUCCAUUAAUGUAACUCAUGAAAAAACAAAUACUCAAUAGAUACACAAGUCAGAUCAAUAGUCCUAUUGCUACUAGAUGAGUAACCUAGUAUAUUUUACAUGUACUAAAAUAUGAGAACUAAAAAAGUACUGUUUGGAGCACCUGGGUGGCUCAGCCGGAAGUACUGUUUGUUGAAUGACUUCCAGAUAGUUACCUGAUAAAUAAAUAAAUGCUUUCUAUAGUCUUAUUUUACCAGAAUUCCCAAUUUAUUGAACUCUGAGAAAAAGAUAUGGGAGAAAGAUACUGUGUGAGUUCAGAAGAAUGUUUCUCAUUUAUUUGGUUUUCUUGAUUUUCAUGUUUUAUCCUCUUACUAAUAUUCAGUGUUCCUGUGUGUUCUGUGCAGAUUAUUGGAGGAGCUCCUGGUGUCCUUGCAGUGGGGAAGAGAGCAGACUUACUACCCUAGUGCGCAGCCUCACACCACAGCAGAACUAGCAUUAACAAAUCACAAGUUGGCAAAAGCAGUAAAUGCUCAUCUUCUGGGAAAUGUUGGCGCUAACAGUCAUAAAAAGAUUCCGUCGACGGUUGAAUUCUGCAGCACCCCAGCAGAAAAAAUGGCUGAAACGGUUCUACGCAUCUUGGAUCCAGUUACCUGUACAGAAAGCUCACCCGAUAUUCCAUUUUCUGAGUCUUCACCAACUGCCUUACUUGCUACAAAGAAAAACAUUGGACGAUUUCAUCCCUAUACCAGAUAUGAAAAUAUAACUUUCAAUUGCUGCAAUCACUGCCGGGGAGAACUUAUUGUCCUUUAACGUUCAGUAUGUUGGGGGCAUGCUACAGGCACUUGCUUCUUACCCGAGAGUCGUUAUUAUUUGGGAGCUGGAGUUCUUAUGAUGGCAGAAUGUCACUUUCUAUUUAAAGAAUAUAUAUCCCCAACAAUGUUUCAUGUACUGGACCACAGAUUACCCUUUCUUAAUAAAUACCUCAGGGUAAGAAAAGAAUGAAAGUAG
rnacentral:lncRNA from 1 species